UACAGAGGUCCCAAGCGUUGUUCGGAUUUACUGGGCGUAAAGGGUGCGUAGGUGGCGGGGUAAGUCUGGUGUGAAAGCUCCGAGCUCAACUCGGAAAAGCAUUGGAAACUAUCCCGCUGGAGGGUCGGAGGGGAGACUGGAAUUCUCGGUGUAGCAGUGAAAUGCGUAGAUACCGAGAGGAACACCAGUGGCGAAGGCGAGUCUCUGGACGACUCCUGACACUGAGGCACGAAAGCUAGGGGAGCAAACAGG
rnacentral:rRNA from 1 species